CGGAGGUGGCGAGCGUUGCUCGGAUUCAUUGGGUGUAAAGGGUCGGUAGGCGGUUUUGUAAGUGCCCGGUGAAAUUCUACGGCUCAACCGUAGAACGUUCGGGUAGACUGCAGAACUUGAGGACUGGAGGGGCAAGCGGAAUUCCCGGUGUAAGGGUGAAAUCUGUAGAUAUCGGGAGGAACACCAGUGGCGAAGGCGGCUUGCUGGACAGUACCUGACGCUGAGCGACGAAAGCGUGGGGAGCAAACAGGAUUAGAUACCCUGGUAGUCCACGCUGUAAACUUUGAGGACUAGGUGCCAGUCCGGUUCGGAUUGGUGCCGCAGGUAACCCAUUAAGCCCUCCACCUGGGGAGUACGUCCGCAAGGAUG
rnacentral:rRNA from 1 species